rnacentral:lncRNA from 1 species
UGCUGUGCUGCCUUCUGAAUUCUCCUACAAAAAGCAGUGGCCAGGUCGUAUGGUCCUUACAUUCCAGGAAAUUGUAAAGCUCUUCAAACUCUUCAAAUUACAAAACUCUUCUCUUGAAGACAAUCCCUUUGCUUGGCAAAGAGGUAAGAGAAAAUACCAUAAAGAGGAGGGGUGGGAUUAGAGGAGUAAAUGGACCUUACAACUUCUCUUUUGUAACCUAGAGAUUAACAACAGGCUAAAGCUUGCAGAUCCAGUUUCAGUGUUUUUUUGCACAUGCUGUAGAGGUGAUGCAGCAUCUUCCUGAUGUCCAGGGUUUUGGUGUAUAU